rnacentral:rRNA from 1 species
GACAGAGGGUGCAAACGUUGUUCGGAAUUACUGGGCGUAAAGCGAGUGUAGGCGGUCUUGUAAGUCGGAUGUGAAAGCCCCGGGCUCAACCCGGGAAGUGCACUCGAUACUGCGAGGCUAGAGUACUGGAGAGGUUGGUGGAAUUCUCGGUGUAGAGGUGAAAUUCGUAGAUAUCGAGAGGAACACCGGUGGCGAAGGCGGCCAACUGGACAGAUACUGACGCUGAGGAGCGAAAGCCAGGGGAGCAAACGGG